GGCUGGACUCAGGCCUGGGGGAAGGGGCCGGGGAGUUUAUACAGGGGCGCGCCGAGCACGAUGAAAGAUUUGAGGGGGUUCACAGCGCUCUCGGAACACGCACAGCACCGGGGGGACUGAGCCCGGCUUCCCAAAUUACAAACUGAUGAUUAAUUGGCGAAGGAACAACACACUCCCUUCCAAUCACUGGAACCAUUUGUCAUACUGAUGUAUCGGUCGCCGGUAUUACCAGCAGAGCUGAGUUAGGAUAUACGUGCAGACCACACGGGGGCAGUAGUGUCUGGUGCAGGAAACCCAGAGGCGUGACGUUUCUUGUUUGCAAGAAUUGCAAAAUUGACACGGUAGCCAGCUGAGAUCAGCAGAUCAGUAUAAAGUCAUUUGCCAUUCAGACCCAGCUCAUGUGUUUCCAGCAGUUGGUGGAGUCUUCGUAGAAAGGCAAUUUUAAGGUUAUAACUAAAAAUUCGCUCAUAUAAACCAAGCCUCAUUAUGACUACAAUGCAACCCAGUUUUAUAGCCUUUUCUGCAUUUACCUCAAUUUUCUGCGAUUAUCAAAACUCUCCCUUUGCUUUUGUGACUAAAUAUAUACAGCAGCAUGAAAGAUUCCCCAAAUUAGGCAACAGCAAUGACUUGCUUUCACAUGAAUGCAACAUGGGGCGUUUCUUACAUCCUCUAAGGUGGCGUGGGGACAAGUUCAUGGUUACACCCUUGUGUACAAGAUGUACUUGGAGAGUAGACAUGAUUCUGAGAGCUCUAUUGAAGCCACAUGUUUUAAAGUAAUCAGGAUAUACAGUCAAAACUAGAAUAAGAUAAAUACAUCCAUACCUGUAACAGAUUGCUCAUUAAGUUCAGGUCUUCCAGUGAAUCAAGCUGCCAGGCAGCUCCAGUUGUAGUUUUCAUGUUUAAUAAUGAUAAAGCAUGAUUACUCAAUUGCUGGAAUAAGACCCAAUUGAAUGAGCAAAAUGAUGACCUCACCUCACUCAAGUUCAUUAUUUUAGAAGGCAUUGGCAGUGGGUGGCUUGAGAAAUCGUUCUGCUGUACUGCAAGCCCAGACAUU